GGAUUCGNNUGGGGGAACCCUGACGCAGCAACGCCGCGUGAGUGAUGAAGGCCUUCGGGUCGUAAAGCUCUGUCAGUGGGAAAGAAAUGUAUUAUGGCUAAUAUCCGUGAUACUUGACGGUACCCACAAAGGAAGCACCGGCUAACUCCGUGCCAGCAGCCGCGGUAAUACGGAGGGUGCAAGCGUUGUUCGGAAUUAUUGGGCGUAAAGCGCGUGUAGGCGGUUUGUUAAGUCUGAUGUGAAAGCCCCGGGCUCAACCUGGGAAGUGCAUUGGAUACUGGCAGACUUGAAUACGGGAGAGGGCAGUGGAAUUCCUAGUGUAGGAGUGAAAUCCGUAGAUAUUAGGAGGAACACCGGUGGCGAAGGCGGCUGCCUGGACCGAUAUUGACGCUGAGACGCGAAAGCGUGGGGAGCAAACAGGAUUAGAUACCCUGGUAGUCCACGCCGUAAACGAUGAGUACUAGGUGUUGCGGGUAUUGACCCCUGCAGUGCCGCAGCUAACGCAUUAAGUACUCCGCCUGGGAAGUACGGUCGCAAGACUAAAACUCAAAAGAAUUGACGGA
rnacentral:rRNA from 1 species